ACCAUUUUUUCUGCAAACCAAUAACACAUUUUCAAAUAGUCAGACACAAGCCUAUCAACUUCUCGGUGUUGCUCAUUCAUGUGCUUUCUAGUCUAGAGGCUCCUUGAUUCCAGCAAUUAAGAAUAUGAUACAAGACUAAUAAAAAAAAUCCACAGAAAGUGGCAUCACAUUUUCUAUAAGCUAAAACAGCAGCCCAAGGAUGGCCAACUUCAUCAUAUGAUGCUAGCCAACAAGAAUGUUUUUGCACUCAUGAAUUUGUAGAAAGGCAAAUACACAAAGCAUCAAGUGAUAAAAAAUGGCGUCCAUGGGAGUUCACCCAAAGGCAUUUUUAUCGCGGCAAAAAUUCAGUGCAGCAAAUGCGGACAGGCACAAUGGUUUUCCUUCUUCCCUUCUUUCCAGUCUGUGGAGAUACCUUAAGCCUUUGUUUGGAGAAGUGAUGGUAGGUAGAGAAAGGUUAUAUAUAUUUGAACAAUUGAGUCUUUUCAUUUUUCCACAAAUAAUAUUUUUCCAAAAAAUGUAAAUAUUAAAAAAAAUGUUUGGAAUUUCAUACAUUUUUACUACUUUAUAUUGUAUAUAAAUUUUACUAUUUUAAAAGGUUUGGCGAAAUUAUAAAAU
rnacentral:misc_RNA from 1 species